AUUCAGAUAGGAAAGGGAACAAUAAGUUAAUGGUAGGUGCAAGUACAUGGAAACAAACCAUUUUGUGCAACAAACCUGCAGCCAGCCCAGAGCACAUCAUGCGACUCUCUGCUUCAACUGAGGUCUUGAUAGAGAUGAUUGCUGGAGAGCUCCUUUUCCAUCAGCCUUGUUGAGAUCUAUUAGAGAAACACUAGGAGAUAAUACAAGAGGAGACUCAGGAGGAACAAGAAAGAAGCAGUUUUGGACUGUUAUAUGAAAGAAAGGUCUGUGCACCUGAUGAUUUUCUGCUACAAGUUAUUUAUUCAUCUACCUUGGAAGGAAUUUAAAGAGACGUUGUAGGCAUUCCCAAGGCAAUUCUUGGGAUCCAGGAUUCAUUAGGACUCACAGGAUUCAGGAAAGAUUUUAUACUCAUGGUUGCAGUUCAUUGUGAGAGGAUACAGAUUAACAUCAGUAACUGAAAAAGGGUGUUCAGGGUAAAGUCCAGGAGAAACCAGGUGCCCCUCUCAGUGGUCCAGAUGUUCCCACUCAGUAGAGUUGCAUGCAAUUAUAUUUGAUUCCCCCAGAAAGGUGAGACACCAAGUGUAAAGUAUUGCCAACCAGGUAAGCUGACCUGAUCUUUGGUUGUCAGAACUUUUACUGGAGGUCAGUGAGUGGCAGACUUUAUUCAAUCCCCAGCUCCACAGAGGUCAAAUGGUUAAAGAAUAGCCUCAGGCCUCAGACCCAUAAAAACACUCUUAGUAGGUAAGAUUUCUAAAGGUUCAGAGGUUAUUUCUUAGGAGCUGGUCAAAAGUCAUUUUUUUUUUUUAAUUAAAGCAUUGUUCCACGUCUGAGCAAUGGGACUGCUGAAUUAACCCUUUGCUGCAGAGAGCAGCAGGUGUGGCUUGACUACAGAUCCCUUCAGCCCUCUGGAGGCCAGAGACCCAGCUCUGAAUGGCCUGUUGGUGAGGAUCAAUGCAGGAUCUG